AUUAACAUUGGCAUCGGUCUGGCAGUUGCUGUGGUUCUUCUUCUAAUCUGCGCUGCCAUUGGAUAUAAACUGUACAAAGUGCACGGAAGCCUUCAACGGGCCCGAAGAAAUCAACGCCCAAACACAACAGUUUAUCAUGAAGCACGUGACCUCGGACAGCAAGUGCAAGGUGACACUGAAGUGGCCAUUGAUCAACCAGUCCCUGCUCGCCCAGUUCAGGUUGCCAUUGCGGAUGAUGACAGGGAAUCUGGAAUAUAUUCCUACGUUGUUGUCAAGGGAAAUUGCUAGCAGGCAACAUUCUCAUUACCAGUUUGAUCAUCACAAGAAAUAAAAGUAAUAAUGUUGAUGUUCACAGGGCCUGUGUAUUUGUGUAUUACAUUUCAUACGUGUGCGUGCGUGUGUGCGUGCGUGUGUGCGUGCAUGCCCGGGACUAAUGCCGGCUUCA